rnacentral:ncRNA from 1 species
UUUGAUGCGUUGAUGAGGAUAGUAGAAUGUGCGUACAUUUCAGAGAGAAAACCGAGUGGUGAGAGGUUUUCAUGAACCAGCAUUUGAAUGUCACCUCGGAGCAGUUCCCGUGAAAGUUGAGUAGUGGGAACCGGAUGUGAAAUCCGUUAUCGAACUUGAGAGCCAGGUUUAUUUUGACUUGUGCAUAAAGGUGGUACCGCGAACAACUCCUUCGUCCUUUUA